rnacentral:rRNA from 1 species
CAUUCCUACGGGGGGCAGCAGUGGGGAAUAUUGCACAAUGGGGGGAACCCUGAUGCAGCGACGCCGCGUGGGUGAAGGAGUGCUUCGGCAUGUAAAGCCCUAUCGGCAGGGAAGAAGCAAGACGGUACCUGACUAAGAAGCCCCGGCUAACUACGUGCCAGCAGCCGCGGUAAUACGUAGGGGGCGAGCGUUAUCCGGAUUCACUGGGGGUAAAGGGAGCGUAGACGGCCAUGCAAGCCAGGGGUGAAAGCCCGGGGCCCAACCCCGGGCCUGCCCUUGGAACUGCAUGGCUGGAGGGCGGGGGG